UUGCUCCUACGGGAGGCAGCAGUGAGGAAUAUUGGUCAAUGGGCUUACGCCUGAACCAGCCAAGUCGCGUGAGGGAAGACUGCCCUAUGGGUUGUAAACCUCUUUUGUCAGGGAGCAACGCCGGCUACGUGUAGCCGGACUGAGAGUACCUGAAGAAAAAGCAUCGGCUAACUCCGUGCCAGCAGUCGCGGUAAUACGGAGGAUGCGAGCGUUAUCCGGAUUUAUUGGGUUUAAAGGGUGCGUAGGCGGAAUGCCAAGUCAGCGGUAAAAUUCCGGGGCUCAACCCCGACGAGCCGUUGAAACUG
rnacentral:rRNA from 1 species